rnacentral:tRNA from 1 species
GGACGCAUAGCUCAGCGGGAGAGCAUCUGCCUUACAAGCAGAGGGCCGUAGGUUCAAACCCUGCUGCGUCCACCA